rnacentral:rRNA from 1 species
AUUCCUACGGGAGGCAGCAGUGAGGAAUAUUGGUCAAUGGGCGGAAGCCUGAACCAGCCAAGUCGCGUGAGGGAAGAAGGCCCUGCGGGUCGCAGACCUCUUUGGACGGGGAGCAAGGCCGCCGACGUGUCGGCGGAAGGAGAGUACCCGUAGAACAAGCAUCGGCUAACUCCGUGCCAGCAGCCGCGGUAAUACGUAGGGGGCGAGCGUUGUCCGGAAUCACUGGGCGUAAAGGGCGCGUAGGCGGUAAUAUAAGUCAGAUGUGAAAGGUGGGGGCUCAACCCCUAGAGUGCAACUGAGACUGG